AACGAACGCUGGCGGCAGGCCUAACACAUGCAAGUCGAGCGAGCAUUUCGGUGCUAGCGGCGGACGGGUGAGUAACGCGUGGGAACGUGCCCUUUUCUGCGGAAUAGUCCUGGGAAACUGGGGGUAAUACCGCAUACGCCCUUUUGGGGAAAGAUUUAUCGGAGAAGGAUCGGCCCGCGUUGGAUUAGGUAGUUGGUGGGGUAAUGGCCCACCAAGCCGACGAUCCAUAGCUGGUUUGAGAGGAUGAUCAGCCACACUGGGACUGAGACACGGCCCAGACCCCCCCGGGAGGUAGCCGGGGGGAAUGAUAGACAAUGGCGGUAACCCUGAUCUCGCCUUGCCGCGUGAAUGAUGAAGGCCUUACGGUUGUAAGGCUCUUUCAGCUACGACGAUCAUGACGGUACCAGCAGAAGCAGGCCCGGCUACCGCCG
rnacentral:rRNA from 1 species